GCAGGCUGCAACUCGCCUGCAUGAAGUCGGAAUUGCUAGUAAUCGCGGAUCAGCAUGCCGCGGUGAAUACGUUCCCGGGCCUUGUACACACCGCCCGUCACACCAUGAGAGUUGGCAAUACCCAACGUACGUGAUCUAACCCGCAAGGGAGGAAGCGUCCUAAGGUAGGGUCAGCGAUUGGGGUGAAGUCGUAACAAGGUAUC
rnacentral:rRNA from 1 species